CCUACGGGAGGCAGCAGUGGGGAAUAUUGCACAAUGGGCGAAAGCCUGAUGCAGCAACGCCGCGUGAGUGAUGAAGGCCUUCGGGUCGUAAAGCUCUUUGAUCAGGGAUGAUAAUGACAGUACCUGAAAAACAAGCCACGGCUAACUACGUGCCAGCAGCCGCGGUAAUACGUAGGUGGCGAGCGUUGUCCGGAAUUACUGGGCGUAAAGGAUGCGUAGGUGGAUACUUAAGUGGGAUGUGAAAUCCCCGGGCUCAACCCGGGAACUGCAUUCCAAACUGGGUAUCUAGAGUGCAGGAGAGGAAAGCGGAAUUCCUAGUGUAGCGGUGAAAUGCGUAGAUAUUAGGAGGAACACCAGUGGCGAAGGCGGCUUUCUGGACUGUAACUGACACUGAGGCAUGAAAGCGUGGGUAGCAAACA
rnacentral:rRNA from 1 species